ACGGGUGAGUAACACGUGAGUAACCUGCCUUAGACAUUGGGAUAGCCUCGGGAAACCGGGAUUAAUACCAAAUAAAAUCAUAAUGGCACAUGUCAUAACGAUCAAAACUCCGGUGGUCUAAGAUGGACUCGCGUCCCAUUAGCUAGUUGUAGAGUAAAAGCCUACCAAGGCGACGAUGGGUAGCCGGCCUGAGAGGGUGAACGGCCACAUUGGAACUGAGAAACGGUCCAA
rnacentral:rRNA from 1 species